rnacentral:lncRNA from 1 species
AGCUAGAGGCGACGAUGGAGUGAGAGGGUCGAUUUUGGGUUUGAGGUUUUACGGCGAUGUGUGGCGGCGAGGUAAGCGAUUUACACGGAGGUGGAGCGGAGGUUGCGGUUGCUUGACGGUAGUGUGGAUAGGCGGAGGGUUUUGAUGGUGAGUGGUGUGGUGGCUGAGGUUUUGAAGAUGUACUCGUAAGGAGGACGACGGUGGUUUUAAUGGAGGUGACGGCGGUGUGGAGUUAAGGGUUUUGAAGGUAGUGGAGACGGAAGGAUUCGCCGGCGAAUUUGUGUGAAGAUGAUGGGAACGGCGGCGAGGGUUUUGAAGAGAGAUUUGGGGUUUUGGUGGUUGUUUAAUGGUGGUGUUGGUGGAUGAGUGAAUCGAUGGAGGUGGUGAUUUGAAGCGAUGAAGCUGGAGGCGACGAUGGAGAAUGUGUGAUUUUGACGGUUGGUUGAAGAGAUGGAGAGGAAAUUUCCGAGAGUGAGAGGAUGGUGAGGUAGCGGCGGAUAGGGUUUUGUGAGAUAUCUGAGAGAGUGAGUGAGGAGAGUGAGAGAUGGAAGGGAGCGUUUUUGUGCUGAGAUUUUUUCUGAGCAAAAUGAGAGUCAGUACUGUAGUGAGUAGUGAGUGGUUUUUUGUAUAUAUUUUCUUUUUGUCGUUUGUGAGGAGAGGAUGGAGAGAGUAAGUGGAGCGUGAGUGGAGCAGGGAAUGGUUACUGAGUGGGGAGAGAGUGGAGUGAAGAGAGUCUUUUGUUUUUGUUUUUUUUUUGUCGUUUGUGGGAAAGCAAAGAGAGAGAAGAUGGACUGAAUAGUGAAUUGAAUAGUGAAUGAGGGAGUUUGUUAGGAUUUGAGAGAGAUAGUGGGGAGUAGCUGGCAGACCGUUGGGAACGUGAGUGGAUUGGGAGUGGAUUC